GGAGGGGGCGAGCGUUAUCCGGAUUUACUGGGCGUAAAGCGCACGUAGGCGGCUAGGUAUGUCAAAGGUGAAAGCCCUCGACUCAACCGAGGAACUGCCUUUGAAACUGCUUGGCUUGAGUCCGGGAGAGGGGAGCGGAAUUCCCAGUGUAGCGGUGAAAUGCGUAGAUACUGGGAGGAACACCGGUGGCGAAGGCGGCUCCCUGGACCGGCACUGACGCUGAGGUGCGAAAGCGUGAGUAGCAAACAGGAUUAGAUACCCUGGUAGUCCACGCCGUAAACGAUGGGCACUAGGUGCAGCGGGUGUCGACCCCCUGCUGUGCCGAAGCUAACGCAUUAAGUGCCCCCGCCGGGGGGAGUACGGUCGCAAGGCUG
rnacentral:rRNA from 1 species